UACGUAGGCAGCAAGCGUUGUUCGGAGUUACUGGGCGUAAAGGGUGUGUAGGCGGUUCUCUAAGUCUGGUGUGAAAUCUCCCGGCUCAACUGGGAGGGUGCGCCGAAAACUGGAGGGCUAGAGUGCGGGAUGGGAGAGUGGAAUUCCUGGUGUAGCGGUGAAAUGCGUAGAUAUCAGGAAGAACACCCGUGGCGAAGGCGGCUCUCUGGGACGGUACUGACGCUGAGACGCGAAAGCGUGGGGAGCGAACAGG
rnacentral:rRNA from 1 species